rnacentral:rRNA from 1 species
GGAGGGUGCAAGCGUUAAUUGGAAUCACUGGGCGUAGAGCGCACGUAGGCGGCCUGGUAAGUCAGAGGUGAAAUCCCACAGCCCAACUGUGGAACUGCCUUUGAUACUGCCAGGCUUGAGUACCGGAGAGGGUGGCGGAAUUCCAGGUGUAGGAGUGAAAUCCGUAGAUAUCUGGAGGAACACCGGUGGCGAAGGCGGCCACCUGGACGGUAACUGACGCUGAGGUGCGAAAGCGUGGGUAGCAAACAGGAUUAGAUACCCUGGUAGUCCACGCCGUAAACGAUGUCGACUUGGAGGUUGUGCCCUUGAGGCGUGGCUUCCGGAGCUAACGCGUUAAGUCGACCGCCUGGGGAGU